rnacentral:rRNA from 1 species
UACAGAGGUCUCAAGCGUUGUUCGGAAUCACUGGGCGUAAAGGGUGCGUAGGCGGCCCGCUAAGUCGAACGUGAAAUCCCCGGGCUCAACCCGGGAACUGCGUCCGAUACUGGCAGGCUUGAAUCCGGGAGAGGGAUGUGGAAUUCCAGGUGUAGCGGUGAAAUGCGUAGAUAUCUGGAGGAACACCGGUGGCGAAGGCGGCAUCCUGGACCGGUAUUGACGCUGAGGCGCGAAAGCCAGGGGAGCAAACGGG